rnacentral:lncRNA from 1 species
AUUUAUAUCUGCCAUUAGAGAUGGAAGUUUGUAAUGACUUCGCGAAGAAGGACACGAAAAAUUUGUGUAUUUCAUGAUUUAUUUAAUUUUCUCUAUUAUCUGGCAUGAUGUAUAUUUGAUUUUCUGUGCUAACAUACCAUUUUCGUAUUCAAACAAAUUGUUUUCAUAAUGGUGAAAUAGGUAAACAAGGAAGCUAAAUGGUAAGAGAAAAUAAUAAACUUUUGAAAUCUUAUGAUGUUAAUUUAAUACUAUUUUUCUUAUUAAGCAUAUGGAACUCACUUUUUCCAUGCCCCCCAUAUGAGGAAGAAAAUGAGGAACCACAGGCAGACCUACCCUUGGAAGUCUAUGAGGAUCCCAUGGAUCCAC